CCAAAGAUUGAACCUAAUCUUAUUAGGUCAAUGCAUCAAGCUUAGGUUUAGCACAAACACCUUUGCACUAAACCAAAUUAGAAACUUGGGUUAAUUCAUGUGCUAGCAAUUUAAUUAACCCAUUGGAUUUACAAUAAAUCUAAAUAAAUUAGAUCAAGAUCAAAUUUUUAUUGUGUGUGACCCAUUGGAUUCCAUAUGUAGCCAGUAGUGGACUCAAACUCAUAACCUAAUCCAGUU
rnacentral:lncRNA from 1 species